CCUUCAUCCAUGUGAUUAAUACCCCUUCAUCCAUGUGAUUAAUACCCCCUUCAUCCAUGUGAUUAAUACCCCUUCAUCCAUGUGAUUAAUACCCCUUCAUCCAUGUGAUUAAUACCCCCUUCAUCCAUGUGAUUAAUACCCCUUCAUCCGUGUGAUUAAUACCCCCUUCAUCCAUGUGAUUAAUACCCCCUUCAUCCAUGUGAUUAAUACCCCCUUCAUCCAUGUGAUUAAUACCCCUUCAUCCAUGUGAUUAAUACCCCCUUCAUCCAUGUGAUUAAUACCCCUUCAUCCAUGUGUUUAAUACCCCCUUCAUCCAUGUGAUUAAUACCCCUUCAUCCAUGUGAUUAAUACCCCUUCAUCCAUGUGAUUAAUACCCCCUUCAUCCAUGUGAUUAAUACCCCUUCAUCCAUGUGAUUAAUACCCCUUCAUCCAUGUGAUUAAUACCCCCUCUGCUAGAGAGAGAGAGCGAGAGAGAGCGAGAGAGAGAGAGAGAGAGAGAGCGAGAGAGAGAGAGAGAGCGAGAGAGAGAGAGCGAGAGAGCGCGAGAGAGAGAGAGAGAGAGAGCGAGCGAGAGAGAGAGAGCGAGAGAGAGAGAGAGAGAGCGAGAGAGAGAGACCGGUCUACUGCUGACAUUCACUGAGUGUACAAAAUAGUAGGAACACCUGCUCUUUCUAUGACGUAGACUGCCCGGGUGAACCCAGGUGAACCCAGGUGAACCCAGGUGAAUCCAGGUGAAUCCAGGUGAACCCAGGUAAAUCCAGGUGAGAGCUAUGAUCAAUUAUUGAGGCUGUUCUGAGGGCAAAAAGGGGGUGCAACUCAAUAUUCAGAAGGUGCUCAUAAUGAGUUGUACACACCGAGUGCAUGGUUGAUCAUUCAGACUUUUUCAUUACAUAUUAUCAUGAUGAAUACUGUCUGAAAGGAGGGUAGAGGACUGGAAGGAAGGUAGAGGACUACUGAAAGGAGGGUAGAGGACUGGAAGGAAGGACUGAAAGGAGGGUAGAGGACUGGAAGGAAGGUAGAGGACUGAAAGGAGGGUAGAGGACUGGAAGGAGGGUAGAGGACUGGAAGGAAGGUAGAGGACUGGAAGGAGGGUAGAGGACUGGAAGGAAGGUAGAGGACUGGAAGGAAGGUAGAGGACUGGAAGGAGGACUGAAAGGUCCUGAUAACAAUCCUGACAACUCAAUGAACUAUUCCUGAAAUAUUCACUUACUAGAAACAAUGUGAAUAUCAAACUCACAAAAACGAUCAUUCAUAAUUACACACACUUCUUUUAAUAUGUACAUAAAAUGUGCUAAUUUUGACGGCAGCCAUUUUCUUUUUUAAAGAACCAGAUAGAUAAAGUUGUCAAGGUCACACCGCUUAAAUACAGUGGCUUGCAUGGUUGUAUGGCCAGAGAGGACAUCACCCCUCCAGCUGUAAAUAAAAUGAAACACACAAAAAAAAAAUGAACUUAAAAAGAAGCUUUUUAAAAAGAAAAACAGUGAGAGAGAGAGCAAUGUAGCGGGAGGACUGGGCUUCCCAGUUGAUCUAGCUAAUGUUAGUUAACUAGCUAGCUAGUUAGCUACAUUGUUGACACUGCAGCUAGCUUAGCCAGCGUAACUCAUGGCAACAUAAUAUGAUAGCUAAUUAGCUAUUGCCACACACAACUGAUUAAUCUGUUCACUCUUUAAGCCAAUGACAAGGUGGCUAGCUAGCCAACGAGCAGAGAUCAUACGGGGAGCUAAACACAGGAGAUGAAAAAAUUCUGUCAGAUUCUGGGUUAGCCAAAGCAAGCUAGCUAGCUAGUUAGCUUCCUAGCCAUUUCAUUUGCACUCACCCUCAAAACACAAUUUCAACAGCAGAAUGAAAGUAUCUCAGUAAAAUACUUGUCUUACUCCAGAAAUAUACACAACAUGCCCAAAAGUAUAUGGACACCUGCUCGUCGAACAUCUCAUUCCUAAAUCAUUGGCAUUAAUAUGGAGUUGGGGACUGAUGUUGGGCGAUUAGGCCUGGAUCGUAGUCAGCGUUCCAAUUCGUCCCAAAGGUGUUCGAUGGGGUUGAGGUCAGGGCUCUGUGCAGGCCAGUCAAGUUCUUCCACAUGGAUCUCGACAAACCAUUUCUGUAUGGGCCUCUCUUUCUCUCUCUCUCUCUCUCUCUCUCUCUCUCUCUCUC
rnacentral:lncRNA from 1 species